UACGUAGGGGGCUAGCGUUGUCCGGAAUCAUUGGGCGUAAAGCGCGUGUAGGCGGCCCGGUAAGUCCGCUGUGAAAGUCCAGGGCUCAACCCUGGGAUGCCGGUGGAUACUGUCGGGCUCGAGUCCGGAAGAGGCGAGUGGAAUUCCUGGUGUAGCGGUGAAAUGCGCAGAUAUCGGGAAGAACACCCGUGGCGAAGGCGGCUCUCUGGGACGGUACUGACGGCUGAGACGCGAAAGCGUGGGGAGCAAACAGG
rnacentral:rRNA from 1 species